rnacentral:rRNA from 1 species
AUGUGUAUUCCCAAGAAAGAGGGGGGUAUGGGCUUCAGAGAUAUUCACUGCUUUAAUCUCGCACUUCUGGCAAAACAAGCAUGGCGCCUUAUUGACAACCCGGACUCUUUGUGUGCAUUGAUCCUUAAGGAGAAAUAUUUUCCUGAUGGAGAUCUCAUGAAUGCAACUUUAAAAAAGAAGGCUUCAUAUACAUGGUGGAGUAUUACUGUAACGCCCCGUGACCGAUGUGCCAGGUGUCGUCCAGUUAUUCGUUGUUGUUGCCAUGUAAUUUGCUUGCGUGUUGCAUUUCAUCUUGUCAUCAUGUGCAUUGCAUCAUCAUGUUUUCAAAACUUGCAUUCGUCUGGGUUCUCCGAGUUCCGUCCGUUGUCCGUUCUGAGCCCAGACACACUUGCACGCGCCCGCGGCAUGUCCGAAAUAGUAUUUUAUAAGUGGCCGGAAAAUGUUCUCGGAUUGGGAUGA